GACGAACCGUGCGAACGUUGUUCGGAAUCACUGGGCUUAAAGGGCGCGUAGGCGGGCAUUCAAGUCGGUGGUGAAAUCCUCCAGCCUAACUGGAGAAGAGCUGUCGAUACUGGAUGUCUCGAGGGGUGCAGGGGUCUGCGGAACUUCGGGUGGAGCGGUGAAAUGCGUAGAGAUCCAAAGGAACGCCGGUGGCGAAAGCGGCGGACUGGGCACCUUCUGACGCUGAGGCGCGAAAGCCAGGGGAGCAAACGGG
rnacentral:rRNA from 1 species